rnacentral:rRNA from 1 species
UACGAAGGGGGCAAGCGUUGUUCGGAAUUAUUGGGCGUAAAGGGCGCGUAGGCGGUUCGGCAAGUCUUUAGUGAAAUCUCUGGGCUCAACUCAGAGUCUGCUGGAGAAACUGCCGUGCUGGAGUGUGGGAGAGGUGCGUGGAAUUCCUGGUGUAGCGGUGAAAUGCGUAGAUAUCAGGAGGAACACCUGUGGCGAAAGCGGCGCACUGGACCACAACUGACGCUGAGGCGCGAAAGCUAGGGGAGCAAACAGG